rnacentral:rRNA from 1 species
CACGAAACUUGCCAAGAGAUGAGUUCUCCCAAUCUAAGAGAUAGUAAGGGUUGUUGUAGACUACGACGUAGAUAGGUCUGGUGUGUAAGUGUAGUGAUACAUUGAGCUAACAGAUACUAAUUGCCCGAGAGGCUUAACUAUACAACGCUCAAG